ACCCGCGCGGGCAAAGCGACUGUAAUGGAAACCAGCCUUAAGGCCAUUUUCCAUUGCAGUCGCUUUGCCCGCGCGGGC